rnacentral:rRNA from 1 species
UGGGGAAUUUUGGACAAUGGGCGAAAGCCUGAUCCAGCAAUGCCGCGUGUGUGAAGAAGGCCUUCGGGUUGUAAAGCACUUUUGUCCGGAAAGAAAUCCUUGGCUCUAAUACAGUCGGGGGAUGACGGUACCGGAAGAAUAAGCACCGGCUAACUACGUGCCAGCAGCCGCGGUAAUACGUAGGGUGCAAGCGUUAAUCGGAAUUACUGGGCGUAAAGCGUGCGCAGGCGGUUUGCUAAGACCGAUGUGAAAUCCCCGGGCUCAACCUGGGAACUGCAUUGGUGACUGGCAGGCUAGAGUAUGGCAGAGGGGGGUAGAAUUCCACGUGUAGCAGUGAAAUGCGUAGAGAUGUGGAGGAAUACCGAUGGCGAAGGCAGCCCCCUGGGCCAAUACUGACGCUCAUGCACGAAAGCGUGGGGAGCAAAACAGGAUUAGAUACCCUGGUAGUCCACGCCCUAAACGAUGUCAACUAGUUGUUGGGGAUUCAUUUCCUUAGUAACGUAGCUAACGCGUGAAGUUGACCGCCUGGGGGAGUACGGUCGCAAGAUUAAAACUUAAAGGAAUUGACGGGGUCAUAGCUG